rnacentral:lncRNA from 1 species
GUUCAAAUGAGUUUGGCCUUUAUCAUGUGAAGAAGUGAGUGCCAUCAGCUUCUCUCUGAAGAGUCCAACAAUAGAGUAUUCAUCAAAAAGCAGCAGUCAGAACACAUGAGACAACAGCACACAGGGGCCCCAGAGGCCAGGCUAGAGGUCAGUGCCUAGCAUUUUGUGGAUAAUU